AAAAAAUAAUAUGAACCUUGCCACUUAACACCAUGUAAAUGCCACAGGGAAGGGUGGAUAGGGAGUAACUUAAAAGUGUUUACAAUAUCAGUUUUACUAAGCCAUGCCCCUACCCCGGCAGAGAGGAUGGCAGUGAUGGCAUUAUCUAUGGUCGUAUAUUGAAGGGAAAAUUCUUCUGAUGGAAUAAGAGAAUUGAGACUUGGGGUAGGUGAUGCAUGGGGAGCAGAUAGGUCGAGAAUUAACCUUUGCUUAUUUGAGGAUUUAUUAGUGACCAGUCCUAUGGGGUUAGUUCUCCAGACCGCGAAAGGCGGGGAGACGAAAGGGCCUAUUAAGAAACCUUGGUCAACUUCCUUCUGGAGGAGUAGGUUAAUAGUGUCGGGAGCUGCUAGGGCUGUCUGCAAGUUUUUACAUUCCAAGAUUCCUGUAGGCAUGUGAAUAAUACCCGUGUGAAACCCCAAAGUAAAUCCUGUCCCCAAAAACUCAACGAGAUGUUGAGAUGGGUGCUCACACAAGAGCUCUUCCAGUAGGGAGACAUUAAGAGACGAUGAGUACUGCUUAGGAUAUAAUUUAUUGGGGCACAUUACUUUGGAGUGAGCCCUGAAACAUUGGGAGCAGACAUGUAGUAGUCUGUAGGCACUGUAUCCACAAGUGCCAGUUUUAAAAUUAUUACAGACUUGCGAUUUCCCUAAAAACACUAUAUCGCGGCCUAGUUUGUCUUUCAGCACCCUGCCUGUUCUCCCAGUGGGCAUUACGCUAGUAGGGGGAAAAACGUCAUUCACCUCCGGAGAGUUAGGGCACAGAUUAGCCGUGUGGGAGUUGGACGAGCAAAUGGCCCAAGCUGGGGUUUUGAGGCCCGCAAAGUGCUGACAAAAAAGCUCUGUAUCAAGUACACUCCAAUCAGUUUGAUAAUUGAACUGAGAAAGAGCAGCCGACGCCUUCGCGGAAAAGGCACGGUGGUAGUCGUAAAAGGCCGUACCACCGUACUUGUGCCCCAAAUCCACCAGCUUGUGGAGAUAAAGGUCCAAUUCUUCUCUCCUAUCCGGAUAUACAGAGCAAAUCACAUCUCUGUAUAUCCCGAAAGCCAACACAAAUUCGGGAAUAGAUAGUUUUCGAUUCAACCUAGGGUCCCUAGAUUUUAACACAACCGACACAUCCCCAUAAGCAUAGGUUUUAUUCUCAAGGACAUCUUGCGAGGCUAUAAGAAGUGAUACCAGAUUGAUAUCCUUCCCUUCCAAGAUGUCCUUCUUAGUGUUUGCAGGCACCAUAUGUGCCGGAUUAAUAAUAUGUUGGUUUUUAAGACCGGUUGGUAUAUUACCCGGUAGGGGGUCCAGGUGCACCGUGGCGACCGGAGUCCCUAAUGCAGAAGAUGACCGUUGCUGGCUAUCUGCAUCCAUCUUGUCGAGUUUAUCAGUAAUACGACUCAAAGAGGAAAAAACGGUAUGCAGAUCAGAAGACUGGCUGCCACUGGACCCUUGCCCCGCCCCUGAGUUAUCAGUCUGAGUAUUCAAUAGUCUGUACAAUUCUGCUUUCCUAGCAAUAGCUGGGAAAGGAAUAUUCCUCUUGCAUAGUUCAGCAGUGAUCCGAGGAAUUGUCCAUGCCCUGAGUGAUGCAGGGCUCGCAUUGUCGUCACCCCGGGAUGGAGUGACCGAUCUAGCCGGUGUGCUGGGGAUGGACAUCCCUUCCCCGCCUUUGGGUAUUUGUGACAUGCUACAACAUAAAAUAAUAUGUUACCUGGGGUCCUACCCAACUGGCUGGUGUAACUAAU
rnacentral:lncRNA from 1 species